UUCAUAAUUAGGAUUGAAAAAUCUAUGUGAAGAUGAUCUUAAAACAUUAACAUCUCCAAAUUCCAAAGAUAGCAGGUCAUUUCCUCUGCCCAAGAAUAACUUGGCAACACUGAAAGCAGCUCUGUAUUCCUCUAAUGGUGCACACACACUCUGUAAAACCUUUAUCAUGGAUCAGGAAAGUCUUGAAUCUGGAUAAUCUUUUGGCAUUAUUCCUUUUCCUCCUCUUAUGGCAUGAUGUUUACAAAUCAGGAUAAAAUAUUUAAGAUAUUAAAUUCUAAUUCUCUGGUCAUUUGAUAGAUGCUGUUUAACUUAAGUAUCAGCUUAUUUAUAUGGAUAUUUGCAGUUUAAUUCUAUAAUUUCAUCCCCAUAUUAAAAACAAUGAGGUAGAAUUUGAACUCAGGUGCGUCUGAUUUCUAAAUUCUGGUUUACUGUACCAGGCCAUAAUACCUCCUAGAUGCCAAUUAAUCUAGCUGCUCGGCAAGACUUUUCAGUACUGAGCUUUCCUGCCAGCCUAUUUUGACAGAGUCCCAAGUGCUCAGAGUGAAGACACCACGCUCCUUGGAGGAACAAGCCAGCACAUAAUCAAUCAGAACCAUGUUCUGAAAUUAGUCUCAUUCUUUCCAAGUGGAAUAGUCACAGCAUGACCCAAUUAGGAGUCCCAAAGAUUUGGAAAAAAAGGAUGGGAAAAAAUACUGAGCUUAAUGCAAGAAAAUUACCAAGGAAGAGCAAAGGUGAAGAUUCUGAAUGGUACCUUCUGGAAGUGUUGGCAAGAACUGCAUUCAGAACAAGUAUAUUUAUGUCACCUCACCACAGCUCAUAUUUUUCAGUUUAACACUACAGAACCAUGAAGCUGUAAAGUGAAAACCUCUUCCAAGCAGACAAGCAGGGAGCGCAAUGGGAAGCCUCAGUCCCCAGAUGAAAAACAAGCAGUUCCAGCGGAGGCUGCGCAAGCAAGGCCAUGGACUGGACAGCAGCAACUGCAGCCACAGAAGCUGUGUGGUGCGGAUGGCAGGGGCUGGCCCGAGCCAGGCUUGGGAGCAAAGGCUGGAAGCCGGUCUCAGGGAAAAGGCACCCCGGCCAAUCCAGGAGGAGGAAGAUCACCCUCCAGGGACGAGGGCCUCAGCUGUAGGAGGCACUGGAUUCCCAGGGACAGACACCACCAGAAGACCUUGAGUGCAAAAGCCUCUUUCGGCAACAGAAUGCAA
rnacentral:lncRNA from 1 species